rnacentral:rRNA from 1 species
GACGAACGCUGGCGGCGUGCUUAACACAUGCAAGUCGUACGGUAAGGCCCUUUCGGUGGUCCACGAGUGUCGAACGCGUGCGUAACACGUGAGUAACCUGCCCCCACCUUUGGGAUAACGCUAGGUAACUGGUACUAAUACUGGAUAUGUGCUCCUUCUGCAUGGUGGUGGUUGGAUAGCUCCGGCGGUUGUGGGUGGACUCGCGGCCUAUCAGCUUGUUGUUGGGGUAGUGGGCUACCAAGGCGGCGGCGGGUAGCCGGCCUGAGAGGGUGACCUGCCACAUUGGGACUGAGAGACGGCCCAGAUAGCUACGGGAGGCAGCAGGGGGGAAGAGUGAACAAGGGGCGCAAGCCUGGUGCAGCAAGGCCGCGGGCGGGAUGACGGCCUUCGGGGUGAAAACCGCAUGCAGCAGGGACGAAGCUUUUUGUGACGGUACCUGCAGAAGAAGCACCGGCUAACUACGUG